rnacentral:misc_RNA from 1 species
GUUGAGGAAAGGCAUAUCAAAGCGUAAACUAAUGCUCGACCUCAACUUAAUUAUGAAGCGUGGCAAAAUCGCUAGUAAAGCGGCUAUACAAAACCUCAUGUUCCACCACAUGACUCACCAAUUUUCGUUCGCGGCCACGACUCACCGUGGCGGUCGUGAUAAAAAUUUACCCUUCUCUCCUCAACACAACGAGUAUGAAUUUAGUUGUAGCAACACCCCGAAUUUCCAACUCCCUUCUUUCAACUUCAACAAGAAAAAUAAAAAUAAAUAUUUUUUCUCAAAGUCGCAGUCGCAGAUGUAUGAUACGUCUGGGAUGGCGACUCAUGAGGAUGAUGUGAUUGUUGUGAAU